rnacentral:rRNA from 1 species
AUACGUAGGUGGCAAGCGUUGUCCGGAUUUAUUGGGCGCAAAGCGAGCGCAGGCGGUCUUUUAAGUCUGAUGUGAAAGCCCCCGGCUUAACCGGGGAGGGUCAUUGGAAACUGGGAGACUUGAGUGCAGAAGAGGAGAGUGGAAUUCCAUGUGUAGCGGUGAAAUGCGUAGAUAUAUGGAGGAACACCAGUGGCGAAGGCGGCUCUCUGGUCUGUAACUGACGCUGAGGCUCGAAAGCGUGGGGAGC